rnacentral:lncRNA from 1 species
ACAAAUCACACUAUUCUGACUGGCUAAUCAUAUAAAGGAGUGUCACAUAGAGAUGACUGCAAAAACUACUUUUCCUACAAAACGACCCAGAAGCAGAAGACUGAUCUGAUGGAUCCUUUACCUUUAUCAAAGCCACCGCAGAAGUGCCUAUAGCAACAGUAGAUAUAUAAAUAGAAUUUAUAUUAUUUCCCUUGACAACAAUACAUUGGCAGGGACAGUUCCAGGGUUGAGAUCAUGUGUGCCACAUAACCUCCUACAGGCUGUUAUUUAAAAGCAUUUCGAGAGUACCUCCUGUUAACUGUAGCCUGGCUCCGCCGGCCUAAGUUCUUCCGCUCAAUUUGAAUUUCCCUUUAGUACUAGGUCUGGGUCGGCGGAAUGUUAGUGGGUUUUCUCCGUCUAAAUUUUCUGCAUCCAAUGAGCGAACAGAGGGAGUGGCUGAGAUCAAUGACGUUAAAGUCAGCUCUCGUUGACGGACAUCAGCCUGCGCGCAACGUGAUUCCCGGCCAAACGUCAGCGAUUGGUUAUGGCAGAUCCAGACUGGCACUGGGCAGAUCCAAUAGUUUCAAACUUCAACAGACACCCGCCUUCAGGUGAGUUAACGUUUGUCAAUUGAGUAGGUCUAGACUCUCUGUAUAAAUGAAAUGAAGUACGAGAGUCUGGUAGGACCAGGCUAUGUUAACUGUAUUCAAUAUCAACAUAAGAUGGCCAUUGAAGUUUUAUCCAUAGCUUAUCACCAGGUCAUGCUGUGCAUGCAUAGAAAAACAGUGCCAUGCCUCAAGAUGGGUUUGCUUUAACUGUUCAUUACCAUCACCAUCAACCCCCCCCCACUGUCAUCACCACUGUUCUCCUAAAAAAGACAGGGAGCAUGUUGCUCUGUUACUUAGCGACCCAGUAAUGAUUUCCACUAUAGCCCCAUACUUCCCCCCCCCCCCUGUGGAGCAGAGAGGAGACUGCUGGUCCACUCUCAGUAGGACUUGAACAGUGACCUCUGCGGUUCCUCUCUCAGGACCCCUCCUGCUUCAGAUCACAGCAGGGGGUGAGGGCGUGGGGGUGGGUGGGCAGUGGGCAGCAGAGCAGCCAUGACAUGGGCUUG